AGUGAACGCUGGCGGUAGGCCUAACGCAUGCAAGUCGAACGGCAGCACAGUAAGAGCUUGCUCUUACGGGUGGCGAGUGGCGGACGGGUGAGGAAUACAUCGGAAUCUACUUUUUCGUGGGGGAUAACGUAGGGAAACUUACGCUAAUACCGCAUACGACCUACGGGUGAAAGCAGGGGAUCUUCGGACCUUGCGCGAUUGAAUGAGCCGAUGUCGGAUUAGCUAGUUGGCGGGGUAAAGGCCCACCAAGGCGACGAUCCGUAGCUGGUCUGAGAGGAUGAUCAGCCACACUGGAACUGAGACACGGUCCAGACUCCUGCGGGAGGCCGCAGUGGGGAAUAUUGGACAAUGGGCGGAAGCCUGCUCGAGCCAGACCGCCUAGGUGAAGAAGGACUUCGGGUUGUGAAGCCCUGUUGUUGGGAAGGAAAAGCGGCAGGUUAAUGCCCAGCUGUUGUGACGGUACCCAAAGAAUAAGCACCGGCUAACUUCGUG
rnacentral:rRNA from 1 species